CUGUGAAACAAGAUACAGACUAGCGGCGGACGGGUGAGUAACACGUGGGUAACCUGCCCAAGAGAUCGGGAUAACACCUGGAAACAGAUGCUAAUACCGGAUAACAACAGAUGAUGCCUAUCAACUGUUUAAAAGAUGGUUCUGCUAUCACUCUUGGAUGGACCUGCGGUGCAUUAGCUAGUUGGUAGGGUAACGGCCUACCAAGGCGAUGAUGCAUAGCCGAGUUGAGAGACUGAUCGGCCACAUUGGGACUGAGACACGGCCCAGACUCCUACGGGAGGCAGCAGUGGGGAAUUUUGGACAAUGGGCGCAAGCCUGAUCCAGCCAUGCCGCGUGCGGGAAGAAGGGCUUCCGGUUGUAAACCGCUUUUGUCAGGGAAAAAACGGUCUGGGUUAAUACCUCGGACUAAUGAC
rnacentral:rRNA from 1 species